AAGUAAUUAGCUCAAAGAUAGAGCUUUUGUCUUACAAACAAAAGGUUAUUAGUUUAAUUCUAAUAUUACUUA
rnacentral:tRNA from 1 species